CCUACGGGAGGCAGCAGUGGGGAAUAUUGCACAAUGGGGGGAACCCUGAUGCAGCGACGCCGCGUGGGUGAAGGAGUAUUUCGGUAUGUAAAGCCCUAUCAGCAGGGAAGAACAAUGACGGUACCUGACUAAGAAGCACCGGCUAAAUACGUGCCAGCAGCCGCGGUAAUACGUAUGGUGCAAGCGUUAUCCGGAUUUACUGGGUGUAAAGGGAGCGCAGGCGGCGCGUUAAGCCUGGUGUGAAAGUCCGCGGCCCAACCGCGGGACUGCAUUGGGAACUGGCGCGCUGGAGUGCCGGAGGGGUAGGCGGAAUUCCUAGUGUAGCGGUGAAAUGCGUAGAUAUUAGGAGGAACACCAGUGGCGAAGGCGGCCUACUGGACAGUGACUGACGCUGAGGCUCGAAAGCGUGGGGAGCAAACAGGAUUAGAUACCCCAGUAGUC
rnacentral:rRNA from 1 species